UGGGGAAUCUUGCGCAAUGGGCGAAAGCCUGACGCAGCGACGCCGCGUGCGGGAAGAAGGCCUUCGGGUUGUAAACCGCUUUCAGGAGGGACGAAGCCACUCGGGUGAACAGCCCAGAGGGUGACGGUACCUCCAGAAGAAGCCCCGGCUAACUACGUGCCAGCAGCCGCGGUAAUACGUAGGGGGCAAGCGUUGUCCGGAUUCAUUGGGCGUAAAGAGCGUGUAGGCGGCCAGGUAGGUCGGUUGUGAAAACUGGAGGCUCAACCUUCAGAGGUCGACCGAAACCAGCUGGCUAGGGUCCGGGAGAGGAGAGUGGAAUUCCUGGUGUAGCGGUGAAAUGCGCAGAUAUCAGGAAGAACACCCGUGGCGAAAGCGGCUCUCUGGAACGGUACUGACGCUGAGACGCGAAAGCGUGGGGAGCGAACA
rnacentral:rRNA from 1 species